GUGCCGCCGCCGCGGUAAUACGGAGGGUGCAAGCGUUAAUCGGAAUUACUGGGCGUAAAGCGCACGCAGGCGGUUGGAUAAGUUAGAUGUGAAAGCCCCGGGCUCAACCUGGGAAUUGCAUUUAAAACUGUCCAGCUAGAGUCUUGUAGAGGGGGGUAGAAUUCCAGGUGUAACGGUGAAAUGCGUAGAGAUCUGGAGGAAUACCGGUGGCGAAGGCGGCCCCCUGGACAAAGACUGACGCUCAGGUGCGAAAGCGUGGGGAGCAAACAGGAUUAGAUACCCCUGUAGUCC
rnacentral:rRNA from 1 species